CGCUGGGGGACCCAGGCGUCCGGGGGGACCCAGGCGUCCGGGGCUGCCCCACGGCCCCGGCACCCGCUGGGGGACCCAGGCAUCUGGGGGGACCCAGGUGUCUGGGGCUGCCCCACGGCCCCGGCACCCGCUGGGGGACCCAGGCGUCCGGGGCUGCCCCAUGGCCCCAACACCCACUGGGGGACCCAGGCGUCUGGGGCUGCCCACAGCCCUGCUGCCCCUCGGGGGACCCAGGUGUUGUUGGGGGGGCCCAGGUGUCCGGGCAGGGUGCGUGCUGCGCUGCGCGUGCCCCGGGGCAGCAGAUUCUCCCUGCUAAUUGCAAGUUCCUGCUAAUUGCAAGUUCCUGCUAAUUGCAACACUGGCUGCUGCUAACGAGGCCGGCGCUAAUUGCCGGGCUGCUUCCCUGGCGCCGCUCCCUCCCCGCGGGCCGCGUUUCCCGCCCGGCGCCUCGGAAAAGGGCCAAAGUCCGGGCACCAGCGCCCGGCCCUGGAGCCAUAAACCGUGGGGGCAGUGUGGGGUCAGCACGGGGGCGCCGUGGGGCCGGGCGCCCGCGCUCACCUGCCGCCCCCCCAGGCGCCCUGCAGGCCACGCGGGCCCUCAUGGUGGUGGCGGCGGUGCUGGGCGUCCUGGGCAUCGCCGUCUCCACCAUGGGCAUGAAGUGCACCCGCUGCGGCGGCGAUGACAAGGUGCAGAAGGCGCGGAUCGCCGUGGCCGGCGGCGUCAUCUUCAUCGUGGCCGGUCUGGCCGCGCUCGUCACCUGCUCCUGGUACGGCCACCAGAUCGUCUCCGACUUCUACAACCCCACCGUGCCCGUCAACCUCAAGUGAGGGGCAGCCGGGGGGCGGGAAGGGGCCCCUGGGGGGGCAGCGCUGGUCCCAGGAUGGUGGCGGUGGCCCCGUGGUUGGCGGUGGUGGCCCGGAGAUGGCAGUGGUGGCCCCAGGGAGGGUGGCGGUCGUCCCCAUGAUGGCGGUGGCGGCCCCAGCAGUGGCAGUGGUGGCCCCAGGGAGGGUAGUGAUGGCCCGGAGAUGGCAGUGGUGGUCCCAGGCAUGGCAGCAGUCAUCCCCAUGAUGGCAGCGGUGGCCCCAGGGAUGGCAGCGGUGGCCCCAGGGAGGGCGGCGGUGGCCCCAAGGAUGGUGGCGGUGGUCCCAGUGGUCACAGUGGUGGCCCUGGGGAUGAGGGUGAUGGCUCGGGGAUGGUGGUGGUGGCCCCAGGAUGGCAGUUGUGGCCGCAGCGGUGGCCCCGGCAGUGGCAGCGGUGGCCCCAGGGAGGGCGAUGGUGGCCCCGU
rnacentral:lncRNA from 1 species